rnacentral:rRNA from 1 species
AUUGAACGCUGGCGGCAGGCCUAACACAUGCAAGUCGAGCGGGGUUUUCGGACCUAGCGGCGGACGGGUGAGUAAUGCGUAGGAAGCUACCCGAUAGAGGGGGAUACCAGUUGGAAACGACUGUUAAUACCGCAUAAUGUCUACGGACCAAAGUGUGGGACCUUCGGGCCACAUGCUAUCGGAUGCGCCUACGUGGGAUUAGCUAGUUGGUGGGGUAAUGGCUCACCAAGGCGACGAUCCCUAGCUGGUUUGAGAGGAUGACCAGCCACACUGGAACUGGGCCACGGUCCAGACUCCUCCGGGAGGCAGCAGUGGGGAAUAUUGGACAAUGGGCGCAAGCCUGAUCCAGCCAUGCCGCGUGUGUGAAGAAGGCCUUCGGGUUGUAAAGCACUUUCAGUAGGGAGGAAGGGUGUUGUGUUAAUAGCACAGCAUUUUGACGUUACCUACAGAAGAAGCACCGGCUAACUCUGUGCCAGCCGCCGCAGUAAAAC